rnacentral:rRNA from 1 species
GACGAACGCUGGCGGCGUGCUUAACACAUGCAAGUCGAACGGAAAGGCCCCAGCUUGCUGGGGUACUCGAGUGGCGAACGGGUGAGUAACACGUGGGUGAUCUGCCCUGCACUCUGGGAUAAGCCUGGGAAACUGGGUCUAAUACCGGAUAGGACCGUGCUUUAGUGUGUGCGGUGGAAAGUUUUUCGGUGCAGGAUGAGCCCGCGGCCUAUCAGCUUGUUGGUGGGGUAAUGGCCUACCAAGGCGGCGACGCGUAGCCGGCCUGAGAGGGUGUACGGCCACAUUGGGACUGAGACACGGCCCAGACUCCUACGGGAGGCAGCAGUGGGGAAUAUUGCACAAUGGGCGCAAGCCUGAUGCAGCGACGCCGCGUGGGGGAUGACGGCCUUCGGGUUGUAAACCCCUUUCGGCAGGGACGAAGCUUUUGUGACGGUACCUGCAGAAGAAGCACCGGCUAACUACGUG